AUUGAACGCUGGCGGCAGGCCUAACACAUGCAAAUCCAGCGGAGCGGCGGACGGGUGAGUAAUGCCUAGGAAUCUGCCUGGUAGUGGGGGAUAACGUCCGGAAACGGGCGCUAAUACCGCAUACUAUCAGAUGAGCCUAGGUCGGAUUGGUUAGUUGGUGGGGUAAAGGCCUACAAAGGCGACGAUCCGUUACUGGUAUGAGAGGUUGACCAGUCACACUGGAACUGAGACACGGUCCAGAGUCCUACGGUAGGCAGCAGUGGGGAAUAUUGGACAAUGGGCGAAAGCCUGAUCCAGCCAUGCCGCGUGUGUUAAGAAGGUCUUCGGAUUGUAAAGCACUUUAAGUUGGGAGGCGUUACCAACAGAAUAAGCACCGGCUAACUUCGUGCCAGCAGCCGCGGUAAUAC
rnacentral:rRNA from 1 species